GAUGAACGCUGGCGGCGUGCCUAAUACAUGCAAGUCGAGCGAACGGACGAGAAGCUUGCUUCUCUGAUGUUAGCGGCGGACGGGUGAGUAACACGUGGAUAACCUACCUAUAAGACUGGGAUAACUUCGGGAAACCGGAGCUAAUACCGGAUAAUAUUUUGAACCGCAUGGUUCAAAAGUGAAAGACGGUCUUGCUGUCACUUAUAGAUGGAUCCGCGCUGCAUUAGCUAGUUGGUAAGGUAACGGCUUACCAAGGCAACGAUGCAUAGCCGACCUGAGAGGGUGAUCGGCCACACUGGAACUGAGACACGGUCCAGACUCCUACGGGAGGCAGCAGUAGGGAUUCUUCCGCAAUGGGCGAAAGCCUGACGGAGCAGCGCCGAGUGAGUGAUGAAGGUCUUCGGAUCGUAAAACUCUGUUAUUAGUGAAGAACAUAUGUGUAAGUAACUGUGCACAUCUUGACGGUACCUAAUCAGAAAGCCACGGCUAACUACGUG
rnacentral:rRNA from 1 species